UACGAAGGGGGCUAGCGUUGCUCGGAAUUACUGGGCGUAAAGGGCGCGUAGGCGGAUAUUUAAGUUGGGGGUGAAAUCCCGGGGCUCAACCUCGGAAUUGCCUUCAAAACUGGAUAUCUUGAGUUCGGGAGAGGUGAGUGGAACUCCGAGUGUAGAGGUGAAAUUCGUAGAUAUUCGGAGGAACACCAGUGGCGAAGGCGGCUCACUGGUCCAUUACUGACGCUGAGGUGCGAAAGCGUGGGGAGCAAACAGG
rnacentral:rRNA from 1 species